CCCGCUCGCACUACGGGCGUAUGGAACUGUGGCGUACAGGAGCUCGACUCCCGGUGUCGCUCGGGGGUCCAAGUCCUUUCGAUCGGGGCCUCCUCCAUGGACGGUGGCAGGCCSGUGCGWWWGCCCCCGACGUGCCGGGGUCGGGUCUCUUUGGAGUCGGGUUGCUUGGGAAUGCAGCCUAAAGCGGGUGGUAAACUCCAUCCAAGGCUAAAUACGUGCACGAGGCCGAUAGCCGACAAGUACCGUGAGGGAAAG
rnacentral:rRNA from 1 species